rnacentral:rRNA from 1 species
AGAGCGAACGCUGGCGGCAUGCUUAACACAUGCAAGUCGCACGGGCACUUCGGUGUCAGUGGCGGACGGGUGAGUAACGCGUAGGUAUCUAUCCUUGGGUGGGGGACAACGGUUGGAAACGACUGCUAAUACCGCAUAAUAACUGAGGUUUAAAGGCGCAAGUCGCCUGAGGAGGAGCCUGCGUACGAUUAGCUAGUUGGUGGGGUAAAGGCCUACCAAGGCGACGAUCGUUAGCUGGUCUGAGAGGAUGAUCAGCCACAUUGGGACUGAGACACGGCCCAAACUCCUACGGGAGGCAGCAGUGGGAAUAUUGGACAAUGGGCGAAAGCCUGAUCCAGCAAUGCCGCGUGUGUGAAGAAGGUCUUCGGAUUGUAAAGCACUUUCGACAGGGACGAUGAUGACGGUACCUGUAGAAGAAGCCCCGGCUAACUUCGUGCCAGCAGCCGC